GUCUCUUUGAAGGAUUAAUAAUAAAGAGUUUGGCCUGCUCAGUGAAGUUUUUAACAGCUGCGGUAUUAUAACUGUACUAAGGUAGCAUAAUAAUUUGCCUUAUAAAUUAGGGCUAGAAUGAAUGGUUUGACGAAAAUUAUACUGUCUCUAUUUUAAUUAAUAGAAAUUAAUUUUUAUAGUGAAAAAGCUUAAAUGAUUUAAAGGGACGAGAAGACCCUAUUGAGCUUUAUAUUAGUUAUAAUAAAUAAUAAAAUUUUAUUUAUUUGGUUAAAUAAUAUUAUGUUUAUUAUGUUUAAUUUUGAUUGGGGUGAUCAAGGAAUAAGAUAAGUAUAAUUUAACUUCCUUAAAAAUAAUUUUUUUAUAGAAUAAUUAACCAAUAAUAUUGCUUAUAUGAUAAGUUACCAUAGGGAUAACAGCGUAAUUUUUUUGGAGAGUUCAUAUUAAAAAAAAAGAUUGCGACCUCGAUGUUGGAUUAAAAUAACCAUAUGGUGAAGAGGCUAUAUAUGGUGAAUCUGUUCGAUUUUUAAAA
rnacentral:rRNA from 1 species